ACAGGAGCGGCAUUGUUUUUUUCAUAUCGACUCAUGAGAUGUUUGGUUAAGUCCUGCUCCGAGCGCAACCCUUGAUCUUUCUGACCAGCAUUCAGUUGGGCAGAUUAAGGUGACUUGCGGUGACAAACCGGAGGAAGGUGGGGAUGACGUCAAAUCAUCAUAUCCCUUAUCAGGUGGGGUACACACGUGUUACAAUGGACAGAACAAAGGGCAGAAAACCGCGAGGUUAAGCCAAUCCCACAAAUCUGUUAUCAGUUCGGAUCGCAGUCUGCAAAUCCAUUGCGUGAAACCGGAAUUCCUAGUAAUCGCGGAUCAUCAUGCCGCGGUGAAUACGUUCCCGGCCCUUGUACACACCUCCCGUCACACCUCGAGAGUUUGUAACACCGGACGU
rnacentral:rRNA from 1 species